CGGGUGAGUAAUGCGUGACCAACCUGCCCCAUGCUCCAGAAUAGCUCUUGGAAACGGGUGGUAAUGCUGGAUGCUCCAACUUGACGCAUGUCUUGUUGGGAAAGUGUUUAGUGGCAUGGGAUGGGGUCGCGUCCUAUCAGCUUGUAGGCGGGGUAAUGGCCCACCUAGGCUUCGACGGGUAGCCGGCCUGAGAGGGCGGACGGCCACAUUGGGACUGAGAUACGGCCCAGACUCCUACGGGAGGCAGCAGAA
rnacentral:rRNA from 1 species